rnacentral:rRNA from 1 species
UGGACAGACCACUGACGCUGAGGCGCGAAAGCCCAGGGGAGCCGAACGGGAUUAGAUACCCCCGGUAGUCCCUGGCUGUAAACGAUGAACACUUGGUGUGGGGGGUUAGGAAAGUCCCCUUCUGUGCCGGAGAGAACUCCGAUAAGUGUUCCCGCCUGGGGAGUACGGCCGCAAGGCUGAAACUCCAAAGGAAUUGACGGGGGCCCGCACAAGCGGUGGAGCAUGUGGUUUAAUUCGACGCAACGCGAAGAACCUUACCGGGGUUUGAACUUGGCCGGCGACCUGUAGAGAUACGGGGUUCCUUUCGGGGACUGGUCAAGAGGUGCUGCAUGGCUGUCGUCAGCUCGUGUCGUGAGAUGUUGGGUUAAGUCCCCGCAACGAGCGCAACCCUUGUUUGUAGUUGCCAUCCAGGUGAAGCUGGGCACUCUACGGAGACUGUCGGCGAAAAGCCGGAGGAAGGUGGGGAUGACGUCAAGUCCUCAUGGCCUUUAUGUCCCGGGCUA